GUCGUGAGAUGUUGGGUUAAGUCCCGCAACGAGCGCAACCCUCGUCCAAUGUUGCCAGCGGGUAAUGCCGGGGACUCAUUGGAGACUGCCGGGGUCAACUCGGAGGAAGGUGGGGAUGACGUCAAGUCAUCAUGCCCCUUAUGUCUUGGGCUGCAAACAUGCUACAAUGGCCGGUACAAAGGGCUGCGAACCCGUGAGGGUAAGCGAAUCCCGGAAAGCCGGUCUCAGUUCGGAUCGGGGUCUGCAACUCGGCCCCGUGAAGCCGGAGUCGCUAGUAAUCGCGGAUCAGCAACGCCGCGGUGAAUACGUUCCCGGGCCUUGUACACACCGCCCGUCACGUCACGAAAGUUGGCAACACCCGAAGCCGGCGGCCUAACCCGUAAGGGAGGGAGCUGUCGAAGGUGGGGUCGGCGAUUGGGACGAAGUCGUAACAGGGUAGCCGUACCGGAAGGUGCGGCUGGAUCACCUCCUUUCUAAGGAGCACACGGCGCCUUAACGCAGCGAAUGCCUGCGUGGGUGUCCAUGCUUUCUAGUGGAGCACUGGCUAGUUGGUUCGCUUUCCUGCGACUGCUCGGUUAGUACGUUCUCCCUGAUGGGGCGACGGAACGAGGGCAGGCAACGGUGAGAGUUCCUAGCACGCUGUUGGGUCCUGAGGAAGCAGCCGUAAGGCGCUGACUCACCACGGACCCGGACUCGCGCGGCGCGGAUGCGCCGAGGGAGCCGGGUUUCCGUCCGUAUCUUGAGAACUGCACAGUGAACGCGAGCAUCUAUUCCAGAUUCUUUAAGAAUCUGGUCUAUGUGUAAUUUAGCCAAGUUUCUAAGAGCAUACGGUGGAUGUCUUGGUACCAGGAGCCGAUGAAGGACGUUGGAGCCUGCGAUAAGCCUCGAGGAGCCGGCAACCGGGCUUUGAUCCGAGGAUUU
rnacentral:sRNA from 1 species